UGGGUUCCUGGCUCUUUUAUUUUAGAUCCUUCCCUCAUCACGGAUUACCGCUCGUCUCUUCCCUCCUCUUCAUCUCGGCCGCCAGGUGGCGACCGUUGAGGGGGGGGUACUGUCGUGUUCCGGGGUUCUUUGUUUUCCUUGUGGGAGUCGGCUUGCUGCUUCUCACCAUCUAGCCACCAGAUGGCGCCAGACUCACCUCUCUCUGGAGUGGUGUGUUGUCAUCCUGCGCACCUGUGAUCUAUCUGCUCGUCAGGCAAGGUGUACAAGAGGAGCUGACUGCCAGUACUUCGAUGCCUGAGUGUUAGCCAGUAACGGUGUUUUCCCUGAGACGUCCUGGGUUCCCCUCGUGACGCCGUGGAACAUACCCACUGGUAACCCGAGUUUCCAGACUCACCUCCUCCGGCUGAUCGCAAGUCCCUCCUGGAGGUUCCGACUGACAGUCGUGCCGCUCCUCUGUCUCUGUCCUGCCCGAACCUACCUGUCCGCCCCCCGACAACACUCCCUCGCCGCCUUCUGGAUCUCUGUGGCCAAGCGCUGUUCCUCCUGGAUCAUAAGGAAACAAGGACCCCGAGCACGGCAGUUAUCCCUCCAAACCUACAAACUCCUGUUCAACAAUGUGCCGACCACUCCGUGAGCCUUUUCCCCCCCUGGAUUGACCCGUAAU